UGAGACCACUGUGUGCAUUUUGAAAUGUUCCAAAUGUGUGUCACGUCCAUACGGAAGAAGUUCCAAGCCCACAAUGGGCUCUAUGAACUGUCCAGGGCAAAGUCGGUCUACCCUGAUGACACUCCCUGUUCCUUGAUGGUAACCAUGGCUGCUGCCCUCAACGUGGUGGGUGUGGACUAUAGGAGCCCUCAGAAAUAAACUGAUAUCAAUAAUUAAUAUGGAUGGUGAUUGUGGCAAGGGUGCCUCCAUAAGGUGCCAUCCAGAAGCCCCAGCCUGGAGCCAGUGGCUGCUAUUGCAAGACUCAUGGGGGAUGAUCUGCAGGCAAAGCUACGAUUAGACACUUGACAUUUACUGCGAAAGGUACCAUCAGAGCACCUCUCCCUACCCUGCAGGAUAUCUAUACCAGAAAAGUACAACAACGGCCCAAAACUAUUUCCAAAAGACAUUUCACACCCUGACCAUGGACUGUUUAAACCACUGAGGUCAAGCAGACGUCUCUGUUCCCACAUGGCUAAAACAGAAAGGAAACAAGGAGUCUUUUCUCAAUAUGCUGCUCCAUCGCUCCACCCCUGAAACAUCAGUUUCGAUCUUGAACACAUGAGGAUGUUGCCUCAAGUUUGCCUGCAGACAGUCAAUAUAGACAGGUGUGUUGUUUUGGUUUGAUGUUUAGAUUGCCAUGCAUACAGUAUCUUUACAAUAAUGAUGGAACAAAUUCUCAUUUGGUUUUACCUACAUUGGGAUUAAAGGAACACUUAACCGUUUUUUCAUAUUAAACUACAUUAUUCCCUUAACUAAGACGAGUUGAUACAUACCUCUCACGUUUCAAUGCGUGCA